rnacentral:snoRNA from 1 species
UAGACAGGUACAAAAAAAUCAAUCCUCUUUUGCAAUCCAGAACUCAUUGUUCAGUAUAAGUUUUGCUACAAAUAAGAAGGGGUAUU